rnacentral:rRNA from 1 species
GGAUUUCCGAGCCUACGACUCACACCCCACUCAUCGCGAGCCCUGCCUUAUGCAGGUCCCUCCAAUUAGAUAGUUGGAUGUCGGGUAUCACAUGUGCGAUACGGGCUGUUCACAUUUGCGAUCUGGUCUUAAGUAAUCAUCUUCAUGGAAACCUCUGCUCAUCCAUGAUGAUGACAUACGUACCUAGAUUUAUCGACCAUCGAUGAGCCAACGGAUGAUUACGCCGACGUGUCGAGGGAUAAGGCUACUCUAGCCGAGCUAUCCUUAGCUGGGCUCAGAGGCAUGAUCACCCACUCUGCGACUGAUGACUCACCCCAGACUCCUACCGAAGGCAACUUCAUGCAAUAUAGUACCAUGCUGCAAACCCUGAUCCAACCAUGUCUCUUGAAUGAUCUACGCCUCACGGCUGAAAAUCUCUCUUACCCGGGAUGAUAAUGACAGGUCCAGGAGAAUAAGACUCCGGGUAUCUCCAUGCCACCACAUCCCCUCAUUCCUACGGAGCUAGCACUGUUCUCAAUCUCUAGUGGCCAAGCUCACCCGCUCGGCUAUUCAAGUCAGAGGUGAAAGUCCUGGGCUGACGGCGGAAUUUUCGUUUAACCUAGAUAGUUAAAUGCAUGAGCGCUGAGCGCAUUCCGAGUGUAGAUGUGAAAUUGGUAGAUAUUCGGUGAACACCAGUGGCGAAGGCGGCUUACUGGACUGGUAUUCACGCUGAGGUGCGAAAGCGUGCGGAGCAAACAGGAUUAGAUCCCGUGGUAGUCUACUCCGUAAACGAUGAUAGCUAGUUGUCUGGGCACAUGGUGUUUCGGUGGCGCAGCUAUCGCAUUAAGUUAUCCGCCUGAGGAGUACGGUCUCAAGAUUAAAACUCAAAGGAAUUGACGGGGGCCUGCACAAGCGGUGGAGCAUGUGGUUUAAUUCGAAGCAACGAUGCAGAACCUUACCAACGUGUGACAUACCUAUGGCGGAUCGUGGAGACACUUUCAUUCAGUUCGGCUGGAUAGGUGACAGGUGUUGCAUGGCUGUAGUCAGCUUGUGUCGUGAGAUGUUGGGUGAAGUCCCGCAACGAGCGCAACCUUAGCCUUUAGCUGCCAGCAUUUGGUUGGGUACUCUAAAGGAACGUCGGAUUAUAAGCCGGAGGAAGGUGGGGAUGAGGUCAAGUCCUCAUGGACCUUGCGUGUUGGUCGACACACGUGCUACAAUGGCGACUACAGUGGGCAGCCACCUCGCGAGAGGGAGCUAAUCUCCAAAAGUCGUCUCAGUUCGGAUUGUUCUCUGCAACUGGAGAGCGUGAAGGAGGAAUUGCUAGUAAUCCCGGAUCAGCAUGCCGCGGUGAAUAUGUUCCCAGGCGUUGUACACACCACCCGUCACACCAUGGGAGUUGGAUUCACUCGAAGGCGUUGAGCUACCCGUAAGGAGGCAGGCGACCAUCAGUGGGUUUAGCAAGCUGGGGUGAAGUCGCAACAACGUAACCC